UACGGAGGGUGCAAACGUUGCUCGGAAUCAUUGGGCGUAAAGCGCACGUAGGCGGCCUGAUAAGUCGGGUGUGAAAGCCCUGGGCUCAACCCAGGAAGUGCACUCGAAACUGUCAGGCUUGAAUAUGGAAGAGGGUCGCGGAAUUCCCGGUGUAGAGGUGAAAUUCGUAGAUAUCGGGAGGAACACCAGUGGCGAAGGCGGCGACCUGGGCCAAUAUUGACGCUGAGGUGCGAAAGCCAGGGGAGCAAACGGG
rnacentral:rRNA from 1 species